rnacentral:rRNA from 1 species
AUUGAACGCUGGCGGCAUGCCUAACACAUGCAAGUCGAACGAGUGGCGCACGGGUGUGUAAUGUCGGGGAACCUGCCCUCUGGAGGGGGAUAACUACUGAAACCGGUAGCUAAUACCGCAUACCAUCGGAUGUGCCCUGAUGGGAUUAGCUAGUAGGUGGGGUAACGGCUCACCUAGUAGACGAUCCCUAGCUGGUCUGAGAGGAUGACCAGCCACACUGGAACUGAGACACGGUCCAGACUCCUACGGGAGGCAGCAGUGGGGAAUAUUGCACAAUGGGCGAAAGCCUGAUGCAGCAAUGCCGCGUGAAUGAAGAAGGCCUUCGGGUUGUAAAGUACUUUCAGCGGGGAGGCGUUACCCGCAGAAGAAGCACCGGCUAACUCCGUGCCAGCAGCCGCGGUAAUUA